rnacentral:lncRNA from 1 species
GGGUUUUGAGUGAAAUCCAAUCUCUAGAACUGUACAAUACACCAACCACUCCAUUUCAGAUUAAACUUCGUACGAACCUGAAUUGUCCGAUUUCAUGGACCAAUCGAUAUAGGAUUGAGUCCAAAACUUGGGGAACAUCAUAAUAUUGUGGGAGUAGUCAUUUGGUGGGUUCUGAGUGAAAUCCAAUCCCCAUAACUAUACAAUCCACC